rnacentral:rRNA from 1 species
UACGUAGGGUGCGAGCGUUAAUCGGAAUUACUGGGCGUAAAGCGUGCGCAGGCGGUUUUGUAAGCCAGAUGUGAAAUCCCCGGGCUUAACCUGGGAAUGGCAUUUGGGACUGCAAGGCUCGAGUGCGGCAGAGGAGACUGGAAUUCCUGGUGUAGCAGUGAAAUGCGUAGAUAUCAGGAGGAACACCUGUGGCGAAAGCGGCUCACUGGACCACAACUGACGCUGAUGCACGAAAGCUAGGGGAGCAAACAGG